rnacentral:rRNA from 1 species
UGGGGAAUAUUGGACAAUGGGCGAAAGCCUGAUCCAGCCAUGCCGCGUGUGUGAAGAAGGUCUUCGGAUUGUAAAGCACUUUAAGUUGGGAGGAAGGGCAGUUACCUAAUACGUAUCUGUUUUGACGUUACCGACAGAAUAAGCACCGGCUAACUCUGUGCCAGCAGCCGCGGUAAUACAGAGGGUGCAAGCGUUAAUCGGAAUUACUGGGCGUAAAGCGCGCGUAGGUGGUUUGUUAAGUUGGAUGUGAAAUCCCCGGGCUCAACCUGGGAACUGCAUCCAAAACUGGCAAGCUAGGGUAUGGUAGAGGGUGGUGGAAUUUCCUGUGUAGCGGUGAAAUGCGUAGAUAUAGGAAGGAACACCAGUGGCGAAGGCGACCACCUGGACUGAUACUGACGCUGAGGCGCGAAAGCAAGGGGAGCAAACAGGAUUAGAUACCCGAGUAGUCCCUGAGCGGGCUGGCAAGGCGCAU